UCACAGCUGAGGAAGAAAAGCAGGCAUAGACACAGACAAUUACUAUAAUGCAUCUGCAAGUGCUGUGAUAUAAGGCAAUACUCAGAUUUCUACUAGCUUGGCUGUAUUUGUGUUACCAUGAAAGACCACAAACUCAAACUCCUACAGGAGCCAGGCAGGAUAUAGAAGCUGAAUGUUCCAGGGCUCACUGAGGGGUCCAACAAUGUCAGAAUCCCAGGGAAGUAGAACAGACCUUUCCCUACACAGUUGCAAGAGGCUGCCUCAGCUUCAGGUAUCCUGUCAUUGGCCGAGAGCCACAGAAGGAAAAGCCACAGUGCAGUUUUUGCAGUUUUUAAACAUGGCUGGUCAGAAGAGGCUUGUGCCUGCCCAUCGCCUGUGUUGCAAAUACAUUUUCAGAGAGAAGCCCACUUCUUGGGAUGACUUCAUCCUAUGACUAGCUCAAUCUGAUGGACAUGUGACGGGAUCCAGAUGCACAGCCCCACACAGGUGAGCACGGUAAACACGCAUCUGUUGCAUGGGGUGGUGGACAGCUCAUUGC
rnacentral:lncRNA from 1 species